GGCCGCCUGGCCGCGGGAUUUCCGUAGGUGAACCUGCGGAAGGAUCAUUCCCUCAACAAAUGAAUCUAAAAACUUUCAACCCGAGUGAAUCCCCCCAACGGUUGUCCCUGCGAUCCCCCGAGGGGUGGGGCCCUUUAACCCGGGCUCUGCUCCUCCUUUUUUUUUUUCCCUCAAAUUCUCACCUUUUAUUCGGACCGACGCCGAACGACCAGUGUAGUAAACACACAAACAAACAAAAUACACCUUUCAACGAUGGAUCUCUUGGUUCUCGCAACGAUGAAGAACGCGGUUAAAUGCGAAAAUGUAGUAUGAAUCGCAGAAUUUCAUGAAUCAUCGACUCUUUGAACGCACAUUGCACCAAAGCAACAUUAGUUGGUUUGGUAUGCUAGGCUGAGUCUCAGUUGUCUACCACAACAGCCUCCGCUCCGGCGGGGGUCUGGACGCUGGGCUUCGGGACCUCGCGGUUCCGUGGCCUGAAACACUGGCGUUCUCGUCGCUGGCCCGACCUUUUGGUUGUGUUCGCUCUUGCGUCGAAAGGGUAGUCUUUACGGCUGCUUUUGAAACCGCGGGCAGACUUCAAAAAACCGAGAAACUGGACAAGCAGCUAGGCGAGGGGGGAGUUGAUGACAAACCCAUCAUCCCAGUUUGAGCUCAGCUCUAUGCAAGACUACCCGCUGAAUUUAAGCAUAUCAAU
rnacentral:rRNA from 1 species